UCAUGAACAACGCAAAUUAUCACAUUCUCCUCAAAAAGCGUUCUUACGAGUGUACAUUUCUAAAUGUGUGCCAUGAAGUACGGAAAUCGUCUAUGGGAAUGAAGAAGGAUUUUUUUUAAAAAAUAGGUGUCGAUCUUGGGUGCAGUGCCUUUCUCUUUUAUGUGGAAGGGAUUGCAAUGAUUGAUUCCACAA
rnacentral:sRNA from 1 species